rnacentral:rRNA from 1 species
CAGUAGCCGCGGUAAUACGUAGGUGGCAAGCGUUGUCCGGAAUUAUUGGGCGUAAAGGGCUCGCAGGCGGUUUCUUAAGUCUGAUGUGAAAACCCCCGGCUCAACCGGGGAGGGCCAUUGGAAACUGGGAAACUUGAGUGCAGAAGAGGAGAGUGGAAUUCCACGUGCAGCGGUGAAAUGCGUAGAGAUGUGGAGGAACACCAGUGGCGAAGGCGACUCUCUGGUCUGUAACUGACGCUGAGGAGCGAAAGCGUGGGGAGCGAACAGGAUUAGAUACCCCAGUAGUCCCUGUCUCUUAUAC